GCCUACUUAGCUCAGUUGGUAGAGCAAGGGACUGAAAAUCCCUGUGUCCUUGGUUCGAUUCCGAGAGUAGGCACCA
rnacentral:tRNA from 1 species